UACGGAGGGUGCAAGCGUUAUCCGGAUUCACUGGGUUUAAAGGGUGCGUAGGCGGGCAGGUAAGUCCGUGGUGAAAUCUCUGAGCUUAACUCAGAAACUGCCAUGGAUACUAUUUGUCUUGAAUGUUGUGGAGGUAAGCGGAAUAUGUCAUGUAGCGGUGAAAUGCUUAGAUAUGACAUAGAACACCAAUUGCGAAGGCAGCUCACUACACAAUCAUUGACGCUGAGGCACGAAAGCGUGGGGAGCAAACAGG
rnacentral:rRNA from 1 species